GAUCCAUGAUGAUGCAUUCAAAGGCUUGUUUAUCAAAGAACGUUCGCGGUGGCCGCCUCAGAGCUUUCGCCUUCACCGGGCUGGAGAGCUAGUGCUGCUUCAAUCCUUCCUUGGAUGUCUGAGAUC